rnacentral:misc_RNA from 1 species
GCUUUUUUAUAGUAGAUAUUUAUCAAUUGAUUUCAUAAGUGGAAUGUCCUGCCUGAAUUUUGAAUUGAGCAUGUUGUUUGCAAGCUUAGGAUUUUGAAUUCACCAACGUUGCUAAGGCCUUCUAUGAUAUUGAAAUGGUGAAACAAUACUACCGUCCCAACUAUUAGAAAGCUUUGAAAAAAAAACAUGUUCCAGAAUAAAAUUGAAGAGCAUAAAAAUAGUAAUACAAAGUUGCCAUCUGAAACUAAAUCUUGAAGGACAUAGCAAAAGUU